CAGACCUCACCAGAUGCCAAACUGAGAGGUCUGGCAACCUCUGAAGGUCACCCGGUCUGGGAUUUUUCUUCCCUUGCUUUUCUGGCUGUAGCUCUGCAUGUGUGUGCACUGGAAAGUACACAUUUUAGUGGCUGAGGAUCAACAUGGGGGGCACCCUGCAAGGAGCAAGUUUACGGAGACCAUAACACGGUCUCCUUGAAAGAAGAUGGGCCCAUUCUGUUCUUCUCCAAGACGCCUGACCCUGUAAAUGAGACAGAUUUCAGUGGUAAUUCCCAGAGUUCAGCUUUCCAAGACAGAAGCCAUGCACCAGAGACCACAUAGGUCACCUCCCUGUGGAUCUGGGGUCAGAGCCUGUCCCCUGGAAGGGAGCACACAUUCACGUCCCCAGAGAUUGACACAGACCGGGACUGUCUCCAGGGUCUCACUAAUUGCCCAGGCUAGCCUCAAAUUUGUGAUCCUCCUGCCUCAACCUCCGAGUAACUGGGAUGACAGUCAUGCACCACCAUGCCUGGUCACAUCAUGAAGGACUCUGGCUUCUGUUCCAUGUCCUGGAUGGCUGACUCAAUUUGGGGUGAGCCAUGUUACCACAGCCCUGCAGAGAGGUGCAGAGGGCAAGCACUGAGCCCACUGCCACAGUCAUGUGAGGCCGUUGGGAGCGGCUCUUCCAGCCCCGGUUGGAUCUCCAGAGACCACAGCCAYGGCCUGACCUCAGCCACUGGGAGACGCACCCAGCUGGGCUCCUCCUGAGUUCCUGACUCUAGCAAUUGUGUGGUUACCCGUGUAUAUUGUCUUAAAAUUCUAAAUGUUGGGUUAAUUUGUUUCUCAGCAACAGAUAAGUAAAAUGGUCUUUUUCAUUGUC